GGUAGUCUCGCACAGAUGCAUAUCAAUAAGCGGAGGAAAAGAAACUAACAAGGAUUCCCUUAGUAACGGCGAGUGAAGCGGGAAGAGCUCAAAUUUGAAAUCUUGAAAGGUCACCUUUCACGAAUUGUAGUUUAAAGAAGUGUUUUCUGUUACGAUCGUAAUAUAAGUUCUUUGGAAUAGGACAUCACAGAGGGUGAGAAUCCCGUCUAUGAUUGCGAUUUGUAGCUUUGUGAUACACUUUCAAAGAGUCGGGUUGUUUGGGAAUGCAGCCCAAAACGGGAGGUAAAUUUCAUCUAAAGCUAAAUAUUGGCGAGAGGCCGAUAGCGAACAAGUACCGUGAGGGAAAGAUGAAAAGAACUUUGAAAAGAGAGUUAAAUAGUACGUGAAAUUGUCAAAAGGGAAGCGCUUAACACCAGUGUUGUUUUCUGAAAAUCAACCUCUGUUAGCUUUAUGCAUGUUUGUUUAGACCUAAUCAGCUAUCUUGCAUGUUCUAUUGUUUGCAGUGGUGCACUUUUCAGUUUACAGGUCAACAUCAGUUUUUUUUACCGUAAAAAAGUUAAAGAAAGGUAGCUCAUGGCUCCGGUCGUGAGUGUUAUAGUCUUUUUCCUAUGCGGUAGGAGAGACUGAGGUCUGCAGUGUAGGCUAUUUGGCUAGAUACUCAGGUGCUAUGUGAUACCAUUUCAUAAACAACUUGUUGAUUAUGUUUUGUCUAUUGCAUACUCGCUUGUACUAUCAUACCUACGCUUAGGAUGUUGAAGAUGUAGCACAUCAU
rnacentral:rRNA from 1 species